rnacentral:rRNA from 1 species
AAAUGACUCUCGGCAACGGAUAUCUCGGCUCUCGUAUCGAUGAAGAACGUAGCGAAAUGCGAUACUUGGUGUGAAUUGCAGAAUCCCGUGAACCAUCGAGUCUUUGAACGCAAGUUGCGCCUGAAGCCUUAUGGCUAAGGGCACGUCUGCCUGGGCGUCACUCAU